AUUUAGAAUCAAGCAGAGUGAAGAGAUACAUUGAAGCUCCUUUCAGAGGACCUUAGCCACAGUGGAAAUCAUUUGCGACUUAGAGCAGGACACUGUUUUCCUGGUUCACUUGGGACUACCUGUGACUUUAUGUAUACCUGGCAUUCUCAGAGAUCAAGUCAAGUGAGUAUGAAGAGAUGAGAAUCUUACACCACAGAGAAGGUGAAGAGACCACUGACCCUAUGCAUUUUCCUUGUGUUCUUUCAUGAAUCAUUAAUAAUGUGCAUCACAGUUUAACUAAGUGUGCAGUGCCUCAAAGUGCAUUCUGUGGGACACCUGCCUUUGAGUCCCUCGACGUGCUUGUUAUAUCUUUUUGGGUCAUUUUUAAGCACUUAAAAUGUAGGAUUCUUGGAAUUCCAGUUCAUGUAGAAGGAGACAAGAACUGUGGUGGACUGCAGUGUGUCCUUUAAGAAUAUUGGGGAAAUUGGAGGAGAGACUUCUGCGAUGGGCCCCUGGGUAUGAGCCUGGAAGGAUAUUAGGAAAAACGGAUGGAAGGCCAACAAGGGUAAAAGCAGAGCAAGCUUUCAACAAUUUAAUUAGAUGAGUCGACCAAGGAAGAGCGUAGAGGAUCUAUCUGCACACUGGAGACUGAAGGAUCCAGUCAAAGGUCUGGUGCUUCCUGCAGUGUCCUAUGUGAGUCUGUGUCAGGAGGCCGAUGGGUCUGAGAUGCCGGAAAGCUGAAAGAUCAGUGCCAAAAGCUGAAGAGCCUGUGCUGGAAGGCAAGAGAUGAUGUCCAAGGUGAAGGCAAAGACUGGAGCUCCUCCAGAGAAACAGAAGCGGACCCAUCCUUCAUUUUCCCUUUCUACCAUCCAGGUGACAAGCUGCCCUACAGUGGGUCUUCCACACCUUAGGCUAUGGAAUUGCUGAGUCAAUUAAGUUGAGCUUCUCUACUCAAGUUGACACAAUCGAUUAACCACCCAUCACAUUUCCUGUUUGGGAGAAACUAGAAAUAUGGGUUUUUUUAAAAUCUUAUUUUCUUUUUGUAUCUUGUCUUUUUGGUGCCCAAAUCUCUCCAUAUUACUGAGAGGAUAAGUUGGGUCUUUAUGUGGUGCUUCUGACAGAGAUAAUACAAGCCUCAAACUGGUAACAGCAUGUUUACUUUGAACAUGGAAAUAGUCUUAGUUUUGCCUUUAUUGUCUUUCCCCUUUGCUACCACAAAGUUAUUGGCCUUAUCCUCAGUCUGGAGUCCUUGCUGUGUCUGAGGUGUCUGCACCACUGUCAAGUAUCCAUCCAGAGACUAUGCUUAGUGACUGGAUCUGGAACUUCUGGCUUGCUAAAAUCUUACUAAUUGUACCAAGUAAUGGCAUUUCUCCCAAGGAAAGAGGAACAGACUUUCUGACAUUAGCAGGACCCUCAAUUAGGAAGCAGACAGCACACAAACCUCUGGGAUGAGAGGUCUCCUUGCAGUCCCUGGACACUUGGCAUGAUUGGCCUCUCAGGAAUCCCAGCACUGCUGUCUCCCCAGUCUCCAUAGGGAGCAGGUGAGUCUUUGGGAAGCAGGAAAGGACCAGUGUGACCAAGAAAGCGAUUCUGAGAUCUCUUCUGCAGCUCAGAUUCUGUGUGAUGUCAUCUGGGCCUCUCUGCUGCAGCAGAAGUGGGAAGAAAGGACCCUGAAAAAGGAUGUGGUUGCAAGUCACAAACCGAGGUGUGGAGGUGUUGUGGAGAGCUGCUUGGGGAAGUGUGGGGCAGACUGGAGAGUGAAGGAGGGAUCAAGACGUCUCCAUAGGACCGAUUAGGACCUGCCUGGGUGGAAGGUUUUCAGGACACCAAUCAUGAGUGCAGGUCAUCUGCUGGAAAUAUCCUCUAAUCUCUGUUCUGAAGUGGGGGGCUUGAUGGAUUCAGACUGUCCCUUCCUGGGAAGACAGCAGCCUGACCCAUGCAGCCUCCCCUGGAGACAUCUGCCUCUUCCAGGAGGAGAGAAGACACCUUACUCUGAAAAUAUUUUCCUUUUUGUUUAUAUUUCUUUCUCACACUGUACACAGGAGUGUGAGGAAUCUUAGAUCAAAUCAUUGUGCAAUGUAUAAACUAUUUUAUUACACUAACAUAUUGACAUGCUGAGGUUUCAGCAUAAAUCUAAGGGAAAAUCUCACAUACUUAACCACAUUUAGAGCACAUGCUUACUGGGUUCUGACUGUCUCAGCUCAUCUUGAAAAAUGUACAUUUAUGUCAGGGCACACACACCAAACUGCUCCUGAUCAUAUGAAAAACCUGGUGUAUGAUAGACAGUCCACAGACACUUUACUUCUCUUUCCCCCAAGCGAACUGCCACGAAUGUAGAUUAAAACAUCCAUAAAAUCCUGGGAAAGUUAUGGUAUGAGGGCAUUUAAAGUAUUUCUUACCAUAUGUAUAUCAGCUCUCAAAAGUCAUUUUAGAACAGAACAGAAUGCUUGAACCAAGAUAAGGUAAAUAUGAAAUGUCACCAUGGCAAACAUACUAAAAUUUAGGAAAUGCAUCACCUCAAAUUACGUGUUUUUCUGCUCCAUAUCAAGUUGAGGCAGUGUCAGAGUCUAAAACCUGUUGGAGCGAAACAUGAAUAUGAGUUUAUGAGAAGGAAGGUAACAGAGACAAGCAGUCAGAUCUAUAUUGGAAUGAACACAUACACAAAUGUUUCCUUUGUAUGGCAGCGUGUGGAGAUUAGGAUACUGCCUUUCAGAAGCAAGCGUAAAUGUUUUCAUAAUCAACUUCUUCAUCAUACUGCUAUACACAUGAAAUUGGAGAUGCAAAAGUAAAAUUCAGAAGAUAAUAAAUUUUAUAUCUGGGCCUAUCACACAAACUAAAACUAAGAAAAGUUUUUUAAAGAGCAUGAAGAUCAGUAGGUAUAACUUCAAAUUGUCUAUAUUCUGUUACAAGUAAAUGGAGAUAACCAAUGUUGCAAGAGCUAAUAAAAAAUACAGUGUGAACAGCUACAAAGAAUGACAAAUUUGGAACAUUUGUUGGAAAAUGGAUGAACCUGGAAAUAGAAUGUUGAAUGAAAUAAAUCAGACGCACAAGCUUAAAUGGAUGGUACCUCUCACUUGAGUGAGGCAAAAUACAAACACACAAAGAGAAUAAUAAGGAAUGGAUGGAAGAGGACAUGAGGAUGAUUCUCUCGCAGCAGGGAAGUGGUCCAAGGGGAUAAGGAUGAGGAGUGUGGAGGAGGAGAAAGGGAAAUAAGAAUAAAGAUGUGCCGUGCACAGGAACCUAGUAAUCUCAAUGAGUGUAAUGAGUAAAUGCCAUGACAAGGUAAGAUUAAUAAAUCAACACAAACACAAAUCAGGGUAGGGGAAUUAGAGAAGGGAUGGAGGGAGAGGGGAUUAACAACAAGAAACUAGCCAUAGUUUGUGCAUGUCUCCACUCCCCAAGAUGACUGUAAGCUGCAGGUACUGCAGAUAUAUACUAAUGAAAGUUUUUUAAAAGUUAGGAAAAUACAGUUAAAAUGACAUAUUUACAUAAAAGAACUCAGUACACAGAAGAGACCUUUAGAUGAAACAAAGGCAUGCAUGUUAUGAAUUAGCACUGAGCAUUUGAUUUCAUCGGACCUAUACAACAUUUAUGUUUAAAGUUCUCAAAAAUUUGACUAUUUUAUUGACACGAGAGUAACAGAUAAAGACCUGAAAUGAAUGGCUGUAACUGCUGCUCAAAGUAAACUCAUCAGAGAGGUUCUGUAAAAGAGCAGCUACUAACAUAGGCAGAAAUGUCUAAGACAGUGGAGAGUGUAUUUUUAGGAUGGCAUGAGAGAAAUUUAAUGUGUGGAGGGUGAAAGGAUAGUGCUCUAAAUUGUGUGUCCUGACUAAUUAUGAGUUAAAAGGGCUGAUGUUAAUUUAGAAUCCAUAGAAACAGGAACCUGGAGAGGCAGUGUGUGAGAAAGUGUGUGUUUAUGGUUUGUUUCAGCUGCUAGUGCUAUCGUCUCUGAGGCAUAGUGCCUGCAAAGAUGUGGACUUUUCUUUCUUACACAGUUGCCCCUGGCCCUGAAUGCAGGAAAGGGCUGAAUUUCCAAGCCCUCCUACAUUUAGGCGGGCCCCAUUUUUAUCGCAGAGAUCUGAGCAGAAGGAAUGUGAGGAGCAUCUUCUAGGGCUUAAGUGAAUAUGAAGUGGGAUUUCUGAAUUCAGUUAGAUGACAAAUCAUAACCUGGGACUGUGACUGUCACCUGAAGUGAGUCCAGUUUUGGGGGACUGAGCACUUACCUCCUAAGAUCUGAAACUGUGUAUAGGCAGAAUGAUGGCUAGGAUUGAGCUGAAGUACAAGACAGCCAUCAAGUAUUCCCUGGAGAUUUGGUUGGUGUUUGUGGAAAACCCUCAUAUAUCCAGUGUCAGAAGGGAAGAGUUGAGUGUCUGUGUGAGUGUAAGAGUAUGGAAACUGCCUUUGGUUUUUCACCAGUUUCUGAGAAUCCAAAUAUCCUGGCCCCAGCCAGUCCUCCAAGGAUCAAAUCAGAUGGUACUUUACAGAACCUCCCCUUCACCUAGUCCUAGAAGGUUACAAAGCUAAACAGCAGUAGCAGCAUCAGCAUCAGCAUCAUCAGCAACAACAACAACAAAACACGUAAGAACAAGAAACCAAAUAUAGCCAGAGCCCCAAUUAAAGUUCAUCAAGAAGGCCAGGGAAGCACAGGUAUCCCUUGGGUCUGGGAAAACAUCACAGCCAUGUGUUCUGUAAGACCAUGUGUCAAAUUUUCUUUCCUUUCUGUCCUAUUUUUCCCAAGAAAAAGAUUUCACGGCACUUCCCUACAUCAUCAAUAUUCUGUGUAGUCUAGAUCAGCCCACUAGUAACAUAUGAGAAAUCAUUAAAAUGUUGAAUUUCUGCCCAUCCCAUUCAGAUCUGCUACAUAAAAACUAUUGUUUUCACAAGUUCCCCAGAUGAUUUGUCUGUGCAUUAAUACAGAGAAACAUUGUUCUACACUUCCUACCAAAGAAUAAAGAAUGCUCCUACAGGUCAGUGAAGGCACUGACCAUUCUACAUCUCAACGACACUGUAUGGGUCAAUUUCACGUGGCUCGAGAACUGAUUUCCACCCAUCAUUUUCAGUAGUUGUACUCCCUAGUGUUUCUGCCCUCUUGCAAGAGAUAUGAGAAAUAAAAUCUUCUACACAGCUGCACUGCAAACUCAGUCACUACUGUGGCAUUCCUGUGAUGAUAGGGUUUAGCAAUUUGUCACUCCUUUUGAAAGACCCAUGAACCGUGUUCUAUAUGAUACAGGAAUGUACAUCACCAUAUUUUCAUAUGAGGUGCCUUCUGCUACUGUUUCUGAAAUUCUCCUGUGAUCACUAUGAAUGAGGCAUAAUCAUCAAUAGUCACCAGAAGAAACUUUUGCAAAGAUUGAGUGAAUCUAGAACUAAAAGUUACUAAUGGACAAAGUUACUAAUGGCUGCCAUAUUUUAAAGUUCGACACCAUCAAUCUUUCAAUGGUGCUAAUUCUGUAAGUACCACUAGAGAGAGUGCAAUUUUGCAUACAAAGAAAAAAAUCUGAAUUCCUUUGUCUUGGUAAAAAAGGAGUUUUUAGAUAAAAUUCUAUGAAACAUAUACUCUACUCAGUUGGUCAGACACCAGUAUACAAUAGCAUCAUCUAUUUUCCUUCUGUCAUUUGAUGUUUCUUACUCAGCUCAUCCCCAAAAUUCACAAAAUCCGAACUGCUCUUUUGUGGAUAGAUUUUAUUAGACUUUGAACACACACACACGCACACACACACACACACACGCAAAUGAGGUUAUCUAUGUUCUGGCCUCAGGUGAAAUAAAACUCCAUACUCAAUAAACAUUUUUUUUUGAUUCUUGAUGUCUUUGUGUUCUGUGUUUCUCUUAAAAGUCCAGCGCAUUUUGUGACUUUGUAUAGGAGAGCCAUUUUCCAGCCAUAGAUGAGCCAAUCAGCCUCUCCUACCUGGUGUCUGUUCCACUAGGCUUUAUAGGACACAGAUCAGCUCACUGCAACACACACUGAUCUCUGAGAAACCCUCUUUCAUUUAACAUAUCCUACUUUGUUCUUCGUUUGAUAAUAUUGUUAUUGAUAUACUACCGUAUAUUGUUUUGCUUGCAUACAGAAGCCUUGGGACUCAGACUAAGGAAAAGUCCAGGCUGUGCUACUUUUAAGCCUGUACAUAUACAAAUGUAUUUGAUUACAUGACCUGUACUUGAUAACAGGUCCUGAUAACAGGAC